GUUUCAGAGAUUUGGUUCCACCAACAGAUGAAUCCCUUCAGUCAUUAUCAAAUGAAAGCCAAGCAGUAGCUGCAGUGCCGACAAGCAGGAACAGUUUCUGGGACAGAGAAGCACCAUGUUCAAUGUGUGUCAUCCAACUGGUCCAGAGAGCUCUGCUGGCCUGCUAGUUGCUGAUAACAACACCAAAGAGAACAGAUCAUAAAGCUCUUGGACUGUGGAGAUUCAUGUUCCAGAUCUCAGAAGUGACAUCAGGAAGAAGGGAGUGAGCUAAGGGAAAGAGGAGACUCUCAAAAGCUGGCUUACUGCAAUUUACCUCAACACACAUACACCUACACAAGAUGUCUGGACAGAAAACAGGAGGUCUGCCACGGUGAUCUAUGGUGAGCUAUGGUGAUCAUCAAUAGUUAUCAUCAGUACUUUACUACCAGUGGUUUCAGAUGUAGAAGUGAGGUGAGUCUAACAGAGGGAAAAGCAGGACCUAAGGGUACCAACUUUAACAGCGAAAGGUCUACACCAAGGAAAUCUGAGUACUACUGAG